rnacentral:rRNA from 1 species
UUGUAGGGAGAGGCCUAAAUAAAGGCACCAGAUAUAGUCUGAUUUUGGAAGCUAAGCAGGGUUGGGCCUGGUUAGUACAUGAAUGGGAGACCACCAAUGAAUACCAGUUGCUGUAGGUU